CGUCCGUCGUGAAGAGGGAAACAACCCAGACCGCCAGCUAAGGUCCCAAAGUCAUGGUUAAGUGGGAAACGAUGUGGGAAGGCCCAGACAGCCAGGAUGUUGGCUUAGAAGCAGCCAUCAUUUAAAGAAAGCGUAAUAGCUCACUGGUCGAGUCGGCCUGCGCGGAAGAUGUAACGGGGCUAAACCAUGCACCGAAGCUGCGGCAGCGACACUAUGUGUUGUUGGGUAGGGGAGCGUUCUGUAAGCCUGUGAAGGUGGCCUGUGAGGGUUGCUGGAGGUAUCAGAAGUGCGAAUGCUGACAUAAGUAACGAUAAAGCGGGUGAAAAGCCCGCUCGCCGGAAGACCAAGGGUUCCUGUCCAACGUUAAUCGGGGCAGGGUGAGUCGACCCCUAAGGCGAGGCCGAAAGGCGUAGUCGAUGGGAAACAGGUUAAUAUUCCUGUACUUGGUGUUACUGCGAAGGGGGGACGGAGAAGGCUAUGUUGGCCGGGCGACGGUUGUCCCGGUUUAAGCGUGUAGGCUGGUUUUCCAGGCAAAUCCGGAAAACCAAGGCUGAGGCGUGAUGACGAGGCACUACGGUGCUGAAGCGACAAAUGCCCUGCUUCCAGGAAAAGCCUCUAAGCAUCAGGUAACAUCAAAUCGUACCCCAAACCGACACAGGUGGUCAGGUAGAGAAUACCAAGGCGCUUGAGAGAACUCGGGUGAAGGAACUAGGCAAAAUGGUGCCGUAACUUCGGGAGAAGGCACGCUGAUAUGUAGGUGAAGCGACUUGCUCGUGGAGCUGAAAUCAGUCGAAGAUACCAGCUGGCUGCAACUGUUUAUUAAAAACACAGCACUGUGCAAACACGAAAGUGGACGUAUACGGUGUGACGCCUGCCC
rnacentral:rRNA from 1 species